GCAACGAGCAGCCAUAUCGUCGCACUGCUAAACGUAGUUGCAGCGUUGGCUUCCACGAUGGGCUCCGGACCCCUGCAACCCUGCAUAAGACAAGCAGGUUUAAUCCUGGUUCUGCUAGCAGGAGGCUGCACUGCGCAUCAGGCUGUUCCAGGCUCAAAGUUUCUAAGAACAAAGUGAAGCAGGAGACACUGGCAAUAACCAAAAACCAGCCAGAAACUCUUUGUGACUCAUCGUCAACAGCAACGUGGGAAUUCCAAGUCUCGCAGCUCCUCACAUCAUUUGGAGGUGAGGAUGACCCCCUCAAGCGGAUCAUGGGAAGCUGACUUCCUCUAGUCUGAAAUUGUGUCUGCCGGCGUAAACAAACUGAUGAUCACCGGUGAUAAAACCUCCGCUUCCUACAUCAUUGAAUAGAGUCACCUGCUUUGACCAUAGAGUGUGGCUGCUUGACCCAGAGGGGCAUCAGGAGGCUUGCAUGCAUGGACAACAGUGACAGUACCAGUCAACCUGGCAGUAUAGACUGCAUAUGAACCUUGUGGUAUGGGUGUUCCAUUGUCAAGUAUGGAGCUCCUCAAUGAGAACGGGGCCAGUCGUGGACUUGUUGGAGUCUCCGUUUCUCAUCAAUACCCCUGAA